rnacentral:lncRNA from 1 species
CCCUCGCCGCCGUGCAGCAGGUUCUCGGAGCGCUUCGCCGCAGUCUUCGCGCAAUCUUCAUGACUUUCCCGACUAUCCAGAGACGAGAACCUUCCGGCGAGCCGCGCCUGCUACACGACGUCCAAGCACAAAGUUUCGCAACGGACAUCAGAAAGCGGGUGUGAACCUCCGAAAGCGACCUGGCUGCGAAGCAGGAGUUCGGUUCUCGAGCCGUUUUCCAUGUGAGUCCUGGAGCCACCAGACGUCCUCGUAUUGCCAGGUGAAGCAGGUGUGCGUGGAGUUGGAUCCUCGAGCCAGUGUCCCGUGUUAGUCCCGGCGCCGCCAGACCAUCGAGGUGCGUGUAA